rnacentral:tRNA from 1 species
GGUCUCGUUACUCAAUUGGUUAGAGCAUUGGUCUUAUGAGUCGAAGGUCACGGGUUUGAGCCUUGUCGGGACCA